GGGGGGAGGGGCGGGGGGUGAACUCAUUUUUUUUUUUUUUUUUUUUCAAUUUUCUUCUUGCACAGAGGUUUCUGCACCUUGGUACUGAGCUGGGGGGAUAACGGGAGCAUAAUGCCCUUUUCCAUGCAAUUAUCCCCAAAAUUCCCCUUGAUAAUCAGUACCUCUCCCUUUCCCACCCUUGGAGGUGAGGAUAAAACCUUGGAGGGGGGGGGGAAGAAGAAGCAGAAGCCACCGGUGCUCAGCCCCUUUGCCUCCAGCACCUCUGCAAGCCAGGGACAGGUAUAAAAGAUGGGUAUUUUAGCAAAAAUAAAUAAAAUGAAAUAGGCUUUAGGGUAGAAUCUGCAUGGCUGCUCCCUCUCUAACAUUUAUU